rnacentral:rRNA from 1 species
GAUGAACGCUGGCGGCGUGCCUAAUACAUGCAAGUCGAGCGAACGGACGAGAAGCUUGCUUCUCUGAUGUUAGCGGCGGACGGGUGAGUAACACGUGGAUAACCUACUUAUAAGACUGGGAUAACUUCGGGAAACCGGAGCUAAUACCGGAUGAUAUUUUGAACCGCAUGGUUCAAAAGUGAAAGACGGUCUUGCUGUCACUUAUAGAUGGAUCCGCGCUGCAUUAGCUAGUUGGUAAGGUAACGGCUUACCAAGGCAACGAUGCAUAGCCGACCUGAGAGGGUGAUCGGCCACACUGGAACUGAGACACGGUCCAGACUCCUACGGGAGGCAGCAGUAGGGAAUAUUCCGCAAUGGGCGAAAGCCUGACGGAGCAACGCCGCGUGAGUGAUGAAGGUCUUCGGAUCGUAAAACUCUGUUAUUAGGGAAGAAAAUAUGUGUAAGUAUCUGUGCACAUCUUGACGGUACCUAAUCAGAAAGCCACGGCUAACUACGUG